GCCCCUCUGUUUCUCUCUGAGAUUUGGGGCUUUCCAAGAAUUCAAAAUUUGAAUUAUUGAAGUCUCUAUUGAUAGCCGUUGAGCCUCUAAAAUUGGCUCAUUUUUCGGCAGCAAGAAGCAAGAAUCACUAAAAGAAGUUAGUAAAUUAGCAAAAGCAAGUUCAUACUAGUACUUCCACUAUUUUUCGUCUGAUUUUCAAGUUCGAGGGUAAGUCUAAGCACGAGUUCGAAUUUCUGACGAGAAACUCCCUAAUUCGCUGGCCCGAAAAAGAUGCAAAUUUGACUCUCUUUAAUUUCAUUUUUCAUCUCUUUUGUUUUUCUUUUAUCUCUUUUGAUUUAUUUGUAUGUGUUUUUAUUCUAUUCUUGAAUUUUUGUUAUUGUUGUUUUUUCGUUGCUUCUGAUUUUUGUUCAUAUAGUUCAUGUAUAAAACGUACAAAUUAGCAAGUAAGUGAAUAUGUGAUGUAUUCUUGGAUUCAAGUCGUCCACGAUGGUGUUGUCUUUUGUCUCCGAAUCAAUUUCGUGGAUAUGAUUUUGUUUGAAGCCUAUAUUGAGUAAAUAUGUAUGGUUGAUUCCCGGUUUUGAUUUGUUAUCAAAAAUAUAAGUUUGUGAAAAUAUGGAAAGGUUUUCUCAUGAUUCUACUGACCAGUGAAUUUUUUUUUUCAUUUUUCUUGUUGUUUUUAUGAAUUGGAGUCAUUGACACAUUUUGGGAGGUUUUUGGUGCUUAAAUAAAAAAAAGGAUGGAGCUGUUUUAAGCUGAUUAUGUCAAUCCGUCUUUGUUUCACCUUGCUCUUUUUUCUGUCAUCUAUUUUAAUUUUUUCGAUACUUAUAGAUGCUCAUCUCAUUUAACAUGGCUGUAUGUUUUUCGCAAGUUAUGAUCAUCGUCUUGUCUCAAUUUUCUCGUUUGUUUUGACGUGUUGUUUGCGUCAUGUUUGAACAUGUGAAAUAAUGUUUUUUGGUAAACAGAUUUUCAUUUCACCAAAAUGAUCAUUACAAAGCCAGGUAAUUGCUGACCAAUCACCUCUCACUUCCUAUUGCUAUUCUCUUACAUACAUUAUACUAGAUAUCUCCAAGUACAACAACGAUAUGAAUUAAGAUUCUGGAAGUACUUGUGCCAGCCACUUAAUUACAUAAUUCCCUUUUGUAUGUAUAUGUAAUGCUAUGUCUCUACAGAUGUGAUCACUUGAAUACGGUUUCUUCUGGAAUCUGAGGUUAUUCCUGGCAGUCCAUAUGGCGUAAAUCAUCUUACUGAAAGCUGCUGCAACUAGUUCCCGGAAUCCUGCUUCAGCCUUCAAACCUAUCAUCACCCAUUGUACCUCUGAAUUCCAGCUUCCAAUAGUUCUUGUCUGUCUCAUCCACCUAAGCACUCUUCUCCGGAUGUCCUUUGUGAUAUUGCAUUCAAAGAAUAGGUGGUCAAACAAUUCAUCUGCUGCCCCAAAGAAGAUACAUGAUUUUGGAACAUGGAUGCCUAUCUUCUGCAGUCUCUCCACUCUCCACUGUUGCUAAUCUAUUCUGUAAAGCUAGCCACAAAUUAAAUUUGUGACUCGGUUGUAUGUGAGCCUGUAAGAUCAGUUUCUUCCAAGACACUCUAGGAUAAUGAGGCAUCUGGAUUAAGUACAUUUUUUUGAUGUUGAAUUUCUCUCCUUUCUGCAUUAGUAUUAACCUAUCCAAUAAGGGUCCCUGCAGUUGUUGUGACUCCAUUAUCAAUUUCCUGGUGUUCAAAAUCUUCCUUACUAACCAAGAAACAUUCUGAGGUAGGGACAUAUGGUCCAGGUCCUGUUGCUUUAUAUAGAAAGUGUGAAGCCAUUUAAUCCAUAGACAGUCUUUUUUCUUUGUUAUUGCCCAUAGAUGCUUUGCUAUUGCAGCUUUAUUCCACAGGUAUAGGUUGAUUACAUCUAGGUCCCCUGCACUCUGUGGUAAGCAUACUUUCUCCCAUGAGACUAGUGCUUUUUUAGAGAUUUUAUUCCUUCCAGUCCACAAGAAAGUUCGACAAAUAGUUUCAAUACCUUUUAAUACUUUUUUGGGGGAUCAAAAACACUUGAUGCCCAGCAUGUCUGCAUCCCAAAAAUCAUUGCCUUAAUUAGUUGAAGUCUGCCUGCAUAACUUAGCAAUCUUGCAGACCAGCAAGUGAUUUUAGAUGUUAUCUUCUCAACCAAUGGCUAGCAUUGUGCUAUGGAUAGCUUCCUAGCAGCAAGAGGUAUACCCAAGUACCUGAAUGGGAAGGUUCCAGCAGUAUAACCUGUUUCCUCAAGUAUUUCAUUCUUCAGCCUCUCCGAUAUGCCAGCCAAAUAUAGUGAACUUUUAUCAACAUUCACCUGCAGUGCAGUCCUGACACCUGGGAGAAUUUCCUGAACGUCUGAUUUAGGAGUCUAAUGGACCCUAUCUCAGCUUUGCAGAACAUUAGUAAGUCAUCACCGAAACAAACAUGUAUAGCCCCCACCUUCUUUCAUCUAGGAUGGAAGUUGAAAUUCUUGUUCCUGCUCAUCUGUUUCAGUAACCUAUUCAAGUACUCCAUAACAAGAACAAAUAGGUAAGGUGACAUUGGGUCACCUUGCCUUAUACCUCCUCUUGCCUUGGAAUGAUUUAGUGAGGCCACCAUUAAGUGUUAAGGAAUAGGAGAGUGCUGAUACAUGCCAUUAUCCAUCCUACAAAUUUACUAGGAAAUCCCAUGUCCAUCAAUAGCCUCUUUAAAAAAGACCAAUCUAGUGAAUCAUAUGCUUUCCUGAUGUUUACUUUUAGGAUACAUCUAGGGGAUAUGCCCUUCUUGUUAUAGCCUUUGAACAAUUCAUGGGCAAAUGUGAUGUUAUCUGGAAUGCACCCUUCUAUAAAGGCUGACUGUGCAUCUCCAAUCAAAUUCCCUAUCACGUUCUUCAAUCUUCUAGUAAGCACCUUAGUGAUUAUCUUAUACACAGUUGUGCAGUAGGCACUAGGUCUGUAAUCCUUUACAGGAGUAGGGGAGGGUAUUUUUGGGAUCAAAGUGAUAACAGUACAAUUGAAUCUUUUAUCCAUGUCACCACUGUUGAAAAAGUGAAAAACUGCAUUUAAAAGAUCAUUUUGUACCUCCUCCCAAUAGGUGGUGAAGAAUUCAAUGGGAAAACUAUCCACUCCAGGAGCUUUCUCCUUUGGCAUCUGCUUUAUUGCAUCCUGUAUCUCCUCAGUUGUUACCUGCUUAAUUAAACACAUCUGUUGUUCCCUGGUAAGACAAUAUCCCUCCUGAAUUACCUGGUAUCUGGACAAGGGUGUAUAUCCCCUUCUUGCCCCAUCAGAUUGGAGAAGAAUAUAAUAAACUCAGCUUCUAUGUCCUCAGGUAUUGUUAGCUUGACCCCUGUCUCACUAUGUACUGAAGUGAUGGUAUUAAUACUUGUUCUCAUUUUCCACUUGGAAGUAUUUUGUGUUUGAAUCACCACUCUGAAUCCAUGAAGCUUUGGAUUUUUUCCUCAUCACCUAUUCUUCUAUUCUACUCCAUUUCUCCAUAUCUACCAAUGCUUCCUUCUCCUGGACAUAUAAUUGCUCAUUGUCCUGGUUCAGUGCUAUUUUUGCUUGCACCACUUCUAAUGUUUUCCUGGCACUGUCUAACUGCUGUUGUAAAAUAAUGUUAAACCCUUUAUUUUUCCAUUCUCUGUUUCUACCAUGUUCAAUGUAUUUAUUUCUUCUCUGAGAUUACGUUAGUAAUGCUCCAUGUUCUCCGGAAGUUGAACAAGGAAAUGGCUUUGUUUCCAGAUGUUGUGUUUAUGGUUGUUUACGUCCGAUACAAUACAAGCAUAGAACUUGAAUUCUUGGUCAUUCUCAAGGUAUCACAGUUUCAGAUUUUUUUUAGGUGCGAACGUGAGGCUAGUGAAAUCCUUGAUAGGGUGUCUUAUCAUUUUCAUUACCUUUUCUCUUCGCCUUAAAAGCGUAUGUUAGUUCAUCGAGUGUUCUUCAUAGUUGCCUCAUCCUUGUUUUCUCCGGGUGAAUAUCUUAAAACAAAUCGGUGGGUGGGCUGCUCUCUUUUGUUGCUACUAUUUUUGUGGGAAAGAACUACCUUUAACGUGAAUAUGAAUUGGCUGUGUAGCCAUCUAGAGCAGAUAGUAAGAUUUUUAGAGAUAUAUUUGGCCUUUGAUGGACUUGGGUUCGAUUCGCUUGCAAGAUGGUAUACAGUGUAAAAGGUCAACUAGAGAAAUAGCAAUUUGUGUAGGUCUUGUUCAUCAUGUUUUGCACUACCGUCAUGGCUGUUUCUCUCAUUGUUUAAAUCAAAUUUUAUUUUAAUAUAUAUUGAUUCUAAACACAAAAUAUUUUUGGAAACUUUAGUCUUGCAGAUUAAGUGCUUUGGACGUUUUAUGAAGAGUUUAGUUCCCGUUAAGAUUGAAUCUAAGCUCUAAACUCCCUAAUAGCAUUUGCAAAUAAUGUUUGGCUUCCAUUACUAUUCUUUCACUGCAUUUGGUUUCAGUUAGUUAAAUAUAUUAGUAAAUGACAUUUUAUGAUUAGGCGUGGGUAUGCUCUGUUGAAAGAGUUUGAAUCUUUCAUGCACUUUAUAUGGAGUUUUAAUAUUGUCGAUGUGAUGGAAAUGCGUUUUGUGUAUUCCCAUUACCAGAUACAUUUACUAAUCCUUAUCCUUCUCUCUUAUUUCACAUGUACUCGGGAGCGCAUUUGGAGCCUUACGGUGUGACUACAACUCUGUCCAAAUAAGAGAAGUGACAAUAGAUUAUUACAUAUUUCAUCUAGUAGUCUAGUGCCUCUUUAUUUGCUAGGUUAUCUCUUUCUUUGUAGAUACAUGUUAUUAUUACUAUCAUUUACCAUUUCCCAUGUUACUAGUUAAAAUUUGUGUUUUAUAUGUUUGUUUUUUUAUUCUGAAUUAGUGUGAUUUCUUAAAUGUGUUAGCG
rnacentral:lncRNA from 1 species